GAUGAAGAACGCAGCGAAAUGCGAUACGUAGUGUGAAUUGCAGAAUUCAGUGAAUCAUCGAAUCUUUGAACGCACAUUGCACCUCUCGGUAUUCCGGGAGGUAUGCCUGUUCGAGCGUCAUUUGUACCCUCAAGCUCUGCUUGGUGUUGGGUGUUUGUUCCGCCUCUGUGUGUGAACUCGCCUCAAAACAAUUGGCAGCCGGCGUACUUGUUUCGGAGCGCAGCACAUUUUGCGAUCCAGAUCAACGUACAGCGGCAUCCAAGAAGCCUUAUUUAACGCUCUUGACCUCGGAUCAGGUAGGGAUACCCGCUGAAAUUAAGCAUAUCAAUAAGCGGAGGA
rnacentral:misc_RNA from 1 species